AUGUUGAGUUGAACCCGGCCUGACGUGUGAUGGCGCUCCGCCUAC
rnacentral:snoRNA from 1 species